rnacentral:lncRNA from 1 species
CCAAAAAUUUGGUUGAGGUUUUGCUUGCCCAUGGGUUGGCCAACAUUGGCUAGAAAAAUGAACUAGAGUUGGCAAUUGAGUGUUGGCUUGCCAAAUAAUUGGCCUUCAUCCAAACAAGAAUCAAAUUUUGGUCAAUGACCAAAAAAUUGGUAGUGCAAUGUUUGGCCACCAUCCAAACAGACCCUAUACUCCUUGUACUCCUGCUAGGAGAUGAGAAAGAAUCAGGAGAAGACGG